ACGCCUGCCCCACAGGAAGAUCACCCCACUGUAGAAGUCGGGUCACGGGGACCAGCGGCGAGCUACCUGAGGGCUUGACUGCAAACACCCUCCCGACGAAAACCGUGGACUCCCGGGGUGCGAGCGUGUGACCGUGUGGGGGGGGUGUUGGCAGACGGUCCCCAUAGUAAUCGAACAACCAGGUGGAAGAACCUCAGGCCUCGCACUCUGGGGCUCUCAGAGUCUGGGCGUUGCAGCCGCUCCCGUACACCCCCGGGUCACCUGGCUGAAUCCGGUGGGAGCUGCUGAGGUGCCGGGAGGUCUCCCAGGCUGGCGCUCCCGUCCAGCUGCUGGUGGAGGCGCGGGUGCGAGGCUUGGGACAAGGGAGAGCUAUGCCGGGUGGGGCAGACCCUUGGGGCGGGUCGGUUCACCCGAAAUGUUCACUGUGGGAAGAGCCGAAAGCCAGCCACGGCACCAGGAGAGUCCAGCGUGGAGAGGCAGAGAGGAAGGGCGAGUGCAGCGGCGCUCGCAGACGGCGGAGCAAGAUCGCCGGGAGUGCGAAUGGAAACAGGGGCAUUGUUUCCUCGGAGUCGCUUAACCACCAUCCCACGCUGUUUUACAGCAGUGUAGGAAAUGUCUCUGCUGGUGACACAAAAAUAAACCUGUGGCUCAGCUCUGAGUAGAUUAUCGCGAAUUUUACAGCAGGAAAUCCGUAUCGCUAUUUUUACUACUAAAUAAACCAGUGCAAUUAAAGCGCGCAGGGCGAGAGUAUGUCGAGGCGAGCACAGAGGAGCGCGCCCGCCCAGGCUUGCCCUGAGGGCGGCGAGGGCUGUGAGCCAGGACCCCGGGCCCUGCACCGCGGGAGCGCGCGCGCGUGGGUCCAGCCUCCUAGCUGUGCGACAACCCGGUGGCCAAAGUCACCACGAGAAGACAGAGUUCCCGGUCAUCGGUCGUUUCUGCCUUACACUUUCCUACAUUUCCUGAACAUUUUGCAAAUGGUUUUGAUCCCGAACGGUGUCCAGCGGUGGCAUCACCAAGAUUUCCGGGAGUGCUAGGGAUUGGGAAGAAUCGUGGAUAGGAGACUAAGCGAGCCGUCCCGGAAGCAACAGUUGCUGGGUCUUGCUCUGUCACCCAGGUUGGAGUGUAGUGGCACAA